GGAUUGUUAGCUCAGUUGGGAGAGCAUCUGCCUUACAAGCAGGAGGUCGGGGGUUCGAGUCCCUCACAAUCCA